rnacentral:rRNA from 1 species
UACGAAGGGGGCUAGCGUUGCUCGGAAUCACUGGGCGUAAAGCGCACGUAGGCGGAUUGUUAAGUCAGGGGUGAAAUCCCGAGGCUCAACCUCGGAACUGCCUUCGAUACUGCGGGUCUCGAGUCCGGGAGAGGUGGAGUGGAAUUCCUAGUGUAGAGGUGAAAUUCGUAGAUAUUGGAAGAACACCAGUGGCGAAGGCGACUCACUGGACCAGCGUAUGACGCUGAGGUGCGAAAGCGUGGGGAGCAAACAGGG